rnacentral:lncRNA from 1 species
CACAUUCAGGAAGCGUUGACUUGAUAUUGUUCGCUAUACUCAUCCGCAUAAACAUAAUGCUCAAUCUAUUCGAUCUUUCCCAAGUCUUAUAAAAAGAUCUUUCUUCCGAGCUGCUCAAAUCAGUAAUGUCAGCCGGUUUCUCAGAUUGGAGUGCUAAAUCAAGAUCCAAAACACCUAAGUGAAACUGGACUUGUUCAUUCCACUCUGUGAAAUUAGUUCCAUUAAAGAUCGUAACAGAUGAAGCUUGCGAAUGAAGCGAAACAGGAAUAGAUACUGCAAUAAGAAAAUUAACAAUAAGAAAAUGCUUACAACAUUAACACUUUGAGUUAGCAAUAAUUAUGAAUAACAUAAACAGUGUUACCAUAAUACACCUUUGGGUAGUAAUUAUGAAACACUAAAUUACUAUUAUGGUGAUUCCCAAUUCAUCUAGGAAUAAUUAAUGAUAUAGGUCCAAAAUUCAAAUAGGUCUGUUGCCUUUGAG